CUUGAAAAUGAUGAAAAUCUUGUUUCCAUAAUCUCUCACUAGUUAGGUGUUUUAGGGAGAGAAAGAGGAAGCUUUAUUAAUAGCUUGAGAGCUUUUGGAAAGAAGUUCAAAGUUACAAAGCUAUCAAGAUUAAGAGACAACCGAUAACUAGGAUGAGGUGUCUUCGUGGGCUUGUAUCCAUCUUUUGAUAAGUAUUAGUUGAAGUGCCUCGCUCAGCAUAUCGAGACUUGCUGCAACAUAGGUAAAGGCAUCUCAUAGCAUUUCAUUCCGAGUCACUCAGCUGUUAGAGGUAGGGUCAUUUAUAGCAUAUUUUGUUUCGGAAGUAAACAAUGGUAUACACUAUAAACUUAUGUUUAUAUGAUGAUGAAAUACAAUGUAUAGAGAACAUUUGCUAUUA